rnacentral:pre_miRNA from 1 species
AAAUGCCAAUGCUCAAAUACCACUCUCCUAAAUUUCCAUUCCCAAAUACCACCCGGGCCCACAUGUCAGCCUCAUCCAGCACAGGGUCCCACAUCACUUUUGUUUGAAUGGAAAGUGAGGCUGACAUGUGGGCCCGGAUGGUAUUUGGUAAUGAAAAUUUGGGAGAGUGGUAUUUGAGCACUGGCAUUU